rnacentral:rRNA from 1 species
GGCUCAGGAUGAACGCUGGCGGCGUGCCUAAUACAUGCAAGUCGAACGCACAGCGAAAGGUGCUUGCACCUUUCAAGUGAGUGGCGAACGGGUGAGUAACACGUGGACAACCUGCCUCAAGGCUGGGGAUAACAUUUGGAAACAGAUGCUAAAUACCCGAAUAAAACUUAGUGUCGCAUGACACAAGUUAAAGGCGCUUCGGCGUCACCUAGAGAUGGAUCCGCGGUGCGUUAGUUAGUUGGUGGGGUAAAGGCCUACCAAGACAAUAAUGCAUAGCCGAGUUGAGAGACUGAUCGGCCACAUUGGGACUGAGACACGGCCCAAAACUCCUACGGGGAGGCUGCAGUAGGGAAUCUUCCACAAUGGGCGAAAGCCUGAUGGAGCAACGCCGCGUGUGUGAUGAAGGCUUUCGGGUCGUAAAGCACUGUUGUAUGGGAAGAACAGCUAGAAUAGGAAAUGAUUUUAGUUUGACGGUACCAUACCAGAAAGGGACGGCUAAAUACGUG